rnacentral:rRNA from 1 species
GAUGAACGCUGGCGUCGUGCCUAAUACAUGCAAGUCGAGCGAACAGACGAGGAGCUUGCUCCUCUGACGUUAGCGGCGGACGGGUGAGUAACACGUGGAUAACCUACCUAUAAGACUGGGAUAACUUCGGGAAACCGGAGCUAAUACCGGAUAAUAUAUUGAACCGCAUGGUUCAAUAGUGAAAGACGGUUUUGCUGUCACUUAUAGAUGGAUCCGCGCCGCAUUAGCUAGUUGGUAAGGUAACGGCUUACCAAGGCAACGAUGCGUAGCCGACCUGAGAGGGUGAUCGGCCACACUGGAACUGAGACACGGUCCAGACUCCUACGGGAGGCAGCAGUAGGGAAUCUUCCGCAAUGGGCGAAAGCCUGACGGAGCAACGCCGCGUGAGUGAUGAAGGUCUUCGGAUCGUAAAACUCUGUUAUUAGGGAAGAACAAAUGUGUAAGUAACGAUGCACGUCUUGACGGGACCUAAUCAGAAAGCCACGGCUAACUACGU